AGUUAUCCUAGGGAAUGACUUAGAUGUUAAAAACAAAAACAAGACAAGACUUGUUUGAAUGGUGAUCACUUGGAAAAUAGGAAGAAAAAGAAAUAUGUAUGUUGUCAGUUUCUUUGCAAAGCCCUU
rfam:Rattus norvegicus clone RP31-40H10 strain Brown Norway, complete sequence.